UACGAAGGGGGCUAGCGUUGUUCGGAUUUACUGGGCGUAAAGCGCACGUAGGCGGAUUGGUCAGUUAGGGGUGAAAUCCCAGAGCUCAACUCUGGAACUGCCUCUAAUACUGCCAGUCUAGAGUCCGGAAGAGGUGAGUGGAACUCCUAGUGUAGAGGUGGAAUUCGUAGAUAUUAGGAAGAACACCAGUGGCGAAGGCGGCUCACUGGUCCGGUACUGACGCUGAGGUGCGAAAGCGUGGGGAGCAAACAGG
rnacentral:rRNA from 1 species